rnacentral:rRNA from 1 species
CACGUAGGGUGCGAGCGUUGUCCGGAAUUAUUGGGCGUAAAGAGCUCGUAGGCGGUGUGUCGCGUCGGCCGUGAAAACCUGCAGCUUAACUGUGGGCUUGCGGUCGAUACGGGCAUCACUGGAGUCCGGCAGGGGAGACUGGAAUUCCUGGUGUAGCGGUGAAAUGCGCAGAUAUCAGGAGGAACACCGGUGGCGAAGGCGGGUCUCUGGGCCGAUACUGACGCUGAGGAGCGAAAGCGUGGGGAGCGAACAGG